GAGACCGUUGACGCAGCCCUGGCCAUGGAGCG
rnacentral:scRNA from 1 species